GAGUUCAAAGAAUCCAAUUUCAAGGGAAAAAAAAAAUUAGCUCCAGGAGAUGUGUUUUCGACGAUAGCCAGUGAAAAAGAAAAAUGAUGGAUGAAGAGACUUGGCCCAAGAAGUUGUGCAAAAAAGUUGACGGAUACACGUGGAAAAUGAUACAGUACGUUUCAUUUGAAUGGAUGCAAUGUGUUUCAUACGAUGCAUUUCACUCACUUUUCCAUUUUUAGUUUCUCUCCUCCAUCUCUCUCUUCCAUUCUCCUCCAUGUUAUGAAUCCUCCACCUCUGAAGCUGAACCCGAUAUGGGUUUAUAAACCCUAACCUCCGCCAUCUCCCUUCUCUGUGUCGCAAUCCGAGAUGGGUUUCUUAACAUUUUUAUAACUGUUCGACGGGCACAAACUCCCCUUUUCAUCAAUCCCACCACGUGGGAUCAACCCUUCAUGUCACGAUGGCCCUAAUCAUGGGUUGGGAAAUUCAUGAAAAUGAGAUAAUGCUUCUUGUUCUUCUCAAGGGUUUUCUAGAUUUUUAAUCCAUUUGUUGGGAACUUAAAGGUGGUGGUGUACUUGAACAGUUCUCAAGGAGGAACGUUUUCUGGUAAUUUCUCCUAUUUUUGUUUCAUGAGUCUAAUCCCUUUGAUGAAUUCUAAAAAAUAAUACACCUUCCUGCUGGAGGAUGCCUUUGAUUUUUGUAUAUUAGGUGAGAUUUUGUUGCAUUCUCAAAUGGUUUGUUUGCUGUGAAAAUGAAAUUGUUGGAUUCAAAAUUAUUUCUCCUCUGGAUGACAUGGUUUAAUCCUCAAUGAAAUUGUUUGCUAGGUUGAUUUGUUAUAUCAUAUUCAAGAUCAUUCUUGAAAGACUAAAUUGGGUAAUUUAAUUAUUCAAUCCUAUGAUCCUUCUGUUGAUAAUUUUUAGGGAGCUAAACACUGUUCCAUCUAGUUUAAAGGAUUAUGUCUUCAUGCUCUAUGGUCACCAUAUCUAAAAACUUAUAACUAGUCAUAACCCCUUGUCCAUUGUCUCUCUAGUUGUCUAUAUAUGUAGUAAUAAUAUGAGCGAUUAAAAAGGCUAUUCUUACAAGAAAUAAUCGAACUCUUGGCUUUUAGAAGAGCAGUGAUCUUAAAGCACUGUUUUGAUAAAGUGUUACUUUUAAUGAAGUUUAACUCAAUGAUAGAAUUCUAUGGGCUUAGAUAUGGGGCAGACGACAAAAUACUUUUGAAUCUGUAGCUGUCAUUAAGGAUUAAUGUCACUGGGCUUAGACAUGGUUUGUUCACUAGGAAAAUGAAAUUUCUGGGAAGAUGAAAUUGUUGUAUUCAAAAAUAUUUUAAACAUGAAAUGCAAGGCUCAAGCAUUUCUCAUUGUAUAUGAACACUUUUUUAAAUCUAUAUUUGUAAUUCCUUGUGACAUGUUUAAAAUGACAUCGUUAGUUUCUACAUCUUCUCUUGUUAAUCGUUUGAGGAGGGACGACCCAAGGUGCAUGUGCGGUGAGAAAGCUCCACUUAGAAUAUCAAUACUCCAAGAACUCCAGGACGAUCAUUCUUUGAUUGUCCAGAGUACAAUACCUUGGGAUUACCACACUGCAACUAUUUUAAAUGAGUAGAUAGUAGUGAAGACUGAGAAAAAGAAUUGGUAAAGAUAGAAGUUGACUUGCAUCGGAAAGAUGAAGAGUUUCAAAAAAAAGGGGAAGAAAUUGUGAAGAGGAAGUUGAAAGUCCACAACAAAAAAGUUGAAAUUGAAAUACAACAAGCAGGUAUACGGCGUGAACACACAAUUUCGUGUUGAUUGGGUUAUUACCAUAUUAAUAACUAUGUACUUGAUACUAUCAAAAUGAAGCCCCAUUUAAUGGGAACUUUGUACAUUGUAUGUUAGGGACUAUUUGGAAUGUUGUGUAUUAUGGAACUAUUUGGAAUGUUGUUCUGUACUAUGAGAAUAUGUUACUGGACACAGUUUGAUUUCUGUGGACUUAGACCGUGGUUGUGCUCA